rnacentral:siRNA from 1 species
UGCGGGUGGUAGCGGUUGUUAGC